rnacentral:rRNA from 1 species
UCAAGCGAACAAGUGCAUGUGGUGGAUGCCUUGGCGAUCACAGGCGAUGAAGGACGCGGUAGCCUGCGAAAAGCUACGGGGAGCUGGCAAACAAGCUUUGAUCCGUAGAUGUCCGAAUGGGGAAACCCACUCCUUUUGGAGUAUCCAUGGCUGAAUACAUAGGCCAUGUGAAGCGAACGCGGUGAACUGAAACAUCUAAGUAACCGCAGGAAAAGAAAUCAACCGAGAUUCCCAAAGUAGUGGCGAGCGAAAUGGGAUGAGCCUUGCACUCUUUAUUUGUAUUGUUAGCCGAACGCUCUGGAAAGUGCGGCCAUAGCGGGUGAUAGCCCCGUAGGCGAAAACAGUAUGAAAGAACUAGGUGUGCGACAAGUAGGGCGGGACACGUGAAAUCCUGUCUGAAGAUGGGGGGACCAUCCUCCAAGGCUAAAUACUCGUGAUCGACCGAUAGUGAACCAGUACCGUGAGGGAAAGGUGAAAAGAACCCCGGGAGGGGAGUGAAAUAGAUCCUGAAACCGCAUGCAUACAAACAGUCGGAGCCUCGAAAGGGGUGACGGCGUACCUUUUGUAUAAUGGGUCAGCGACUUACGUUCAGUAGCAAGCUUAACCGUAUAGGGCAGGCGUAGCGAAAGCGAGUCCGAAUAGGGCGUUCAGUUGCUGGGCGUAGACCCGAAACCAAGUGAUCUAUCCAUGGCCAGGAUGAAGGUGCGGUAACACGUACUGGAGGUCCGAACCCACUAACGUUGAAAAGUUAGGGGAUGAGCUGUGGAUAGGGGUGAAAGGCUAAACAAACUUGGAAAUAGCUGGUUCUCUCCGAAAACUAUUUAGGUAGUGCCUCGUGUCUCACCUUCGGGGGUAGAGCACUGUCAUGGUUGGGGGGUCUAUUGCAGAUUACCCCGCCAUAGCAAACUCCGAAUACCGAAGAGUGCAAUCACGGGAGACAGACAUCGGGUGCUAACGUCCGGUGUCAAGAGGGAAACAACCCAGACCGCCAGCUAAGGUCCCCAAAUAUAGCUAAGUGGGAAACGAAGUGGGAAGGCUAAAACAGUCAGGAGGUUGGCUUAGAAGCAGCCACCCUUUAAAGAAAGCGUAAUAGCUCACUGAUCGAGUCGUCCUGCGCGGAAGAUGUAACGGGGCUAAGCUAUAUACCGAAGCUGCGGAUGCGUGCUUUGCACGCAUGGUAGGAGAGCGUUCUGUAAGCCUGCGAAGGUGUCUCGGAAGGGAUGCUGGAGGUAUCAGAAGUGCGAAUGCUGACAUGAGUAGCGAUAAAGGGGGUGAAAGGCCCCCUCGCCGUAAGCCCAAGGUUUCCUACGCAACGUUCAUCGGCGUAGGGUGAGUCGGCCCCUAAGGCGAGGCAGAAAUGCGUAGCUGAUGGGAAGCAGGUCAAUAUUCCUGCACCAUUGUUAGAUGCGAUGGGGGGACGGAUCGCGGAAGGUUGUCCGGGUGUUGGAAGUCCCGGUCGCUGCAUUGGAGAAGGCACUUAGGCAAAUCCGGGUGCGUA